rnacentral:rRNA from 1 species
UGCGUAGGCGGAAUAUUAAGUCAGUGGUGAAAUCCUGCAGCUUAACUGUAGAACCGCCAUUGAUACUGGUAUUCUUGAAUUUAGUUGAGGUGGGCGGAACGUGUAAUGUAGCGGUGAAAUGCUUAGAUAUUACACAGAACACCGAUUGCGAAGGCAGCUCACUAAACUAACAUUGACGCUGAGGCACGAAAGCGUGGGUAGCAAACAGGAUUAGAUACCCUGGUAGUCC